CCUACGGGAGGCAGCAGUGGGGAAUAUUGCACAAUGGGGGAAACCCUGAUGCAGCGACGCCGCGUGAGUGAAGAAGUAUUUCGGUAUGUAAAGCUCUAUCAGCAGGGAAGAAAAUGACGGUACCUGAUUAAGAAGCCCCGGCUAACUACGUGCCAGCAGCCGCGGUAAUACGUAGGGGGCAAGCGUUAUCCGGAUUUACUGGGUGUAAGGGGAGCGUAGACGGCAGCACAAGUCUGGAGUGAAAUGCCGGGGCUUAACCCCGGAACUGCUUUGGAAACUGUGCAGCUAGAGUGCAGGAGAGGUAAGGGGAAUUCCUGGUGUGGGGGUAAAGGG
rnacentral:rRNA from 1 species